UGGUUCUGGCAUCGAUGAAGAACGCAGCGAAAUGCGAUAAGUAAUGUGAAUUGCAGAAUUCAGUGAAUCAUCGAAUCUUUGAACGCACAUUGCGCCCCUUGGUAUUCCGAGGGGCAUGCCUGUUCGAGCGUCAUUAUGACCACUCAAGCCUAGCUUGGUAUUGGGGUUCGCGGCGUCGCGGCCCCUAAAAUCAGUGGCGGUGCCGUCUGGCUCUAAGCGUAGUAAAUUUUCUCGCUACAGGGUCCGGAGGGUGGCUUGCUAACAACCCCCAACUCUUACGGUUGACCUCGGAUCAGGUAGGGAUACCCGCUGA
rnacentral:misc_RNA from 1 species